rnacentral:rRNA from 1 species
GAUGAACGCUGGCGGCGUGCUUAACACAUGCAAGUCGAACGGAAAGGCCCAAGCUUGCUUGGGUACUCGAGUGGCGAACGGGUGAGUAACACGUGGGUGAUCUGCCCUGCACUUCGGGAUAAGCCUGGGAAACUGGGUCUAAUACCGGAUAGGACGAUGGUUUGGAUGCCAUUGUGGAAAGUUUUUUCGGUGUGGGAUGAGCUCGCGGCCUAUCAGCUUGUUGGUGGGGUAAUGGCCUACCAAGGCGUCGACGGGUAGCCGGCCUGAGAGGGUGUAGGGCCACAUUGGGACUGUGAUACAGCCCAGAGUCGUACGGGAGGCAGAAGUGGGGAAUAUUGCACAAUGGGCGCAAGCCUGAUGCAGCGAGGCCGCGUGGGGGAUGACGGCCUUCGGGUUGUAAACUCCUUUCGCUAGGGACGAAGCGUUUUUGUGACGGUACCUGGAGAAGAAGCACCGGCUAACUACGUG